CACAAUCAAAGAUAUGAUUCGAUUCGAUGAAAUUUAAUGCACUGUUUUUUACAAAUCAAGUUACAGUUAAGUAACAGUUUCCCUCUCUAUGCAACAUGUGUUACUGAUUGGUGUUAUUUUAAACUGUGCGAAAACGUUCGAACGUUGCAGUUUUUUUUGGGUUAGGGCUAAGACAUUCCUAAUCAUUCAUCUGCUAACUGAAUACUUAUCGUGUGAUUUGCGUAGCAUACGGUGCCGUGCUGCGGAAGCUAUCGUUUGAAUCUUGCGCUUUCUGGGUUAUGCUAGCUCAUUCUUUGAGAGUUAUUGUGCACAGCAUCAUCAGCAUCUACUAAAUGCGACCUUUUCUCUUUUUAUCUUUACUUUCAUGCACCCAACGAAUUACUUGCGUUAUGGAGCACAAAUGGUCGUAAACCAUCACACGAUGAGCAAAGGUAAAAUACACAAUAUACAUACCAAUUAUAGUACCUUCUCACAUCUAACUAAACCCUUUUUUUUCUCUUUUUCUUUGUGUUUUAAUGCAUUCAACUAUCAUUUCAUGCACUCACUGCGAUGACGAUGCGUUGCGUUCUUGAGCACAUUUGGACACAAACCGCUUGUGAUACGCGUUGAAGAAAGAUCAAUCUCACACUACCCAGACCAAGGUGUCUUUAGCCUUGAACAAGAAGGCUGCGCGAUAUAAUUGUACAUCGUAAUCGACUGGCCUUCCUGCAAGCUCUUUGAAUACCCCUGAAUGCAACCGAAACGAUUGCGUCAACGGGACGGGGCAAUCGAUAGGACAUCCAUGCGGCACCUUUGCUUCAUCCUCCGCGUUUCUUGCGCAACCGUGAUUGACUCGACACUCGUGUUAGACUUGCGCUAGCCAAUUGCAAUCAAUCCCACGCAAGUUUCGAUUGCUUUCCGAUUUCCUUGCGAUGCAAUGGUUGCGUGUAUGGGGCUUUCCAUGAGGAGUUUUUCAUACAUCACCCAAUUGCAAUAAAUGUUCACGUUUUCAUGAGCACCCGACAUUCCAUACGUCGUUCCAUGUUCUAAGGGUCCCCAUCUUCCUACCUUUUGGAGUUUUUACGUAUCCUGAAGUUUCCGUGCGUUAUCUUGCAACCGAGCCUCUUAAACUAGUAAUACAUGAAACAUAUUGAAACAUGAAAUUGUAACUAACUUUUAAUUUGUAUUUCUUAUUGUGUAUUUAUGCAAUGUCUAUGUAUUCUUCGGGCGUAGGAAUGUUGGUCUAACUGUAGAAUAAAUGAUGAAUCAAGCAUU